GAUGAACGCUGGCGGCGUGCUUAACACAUGCAAGUCGAACGGUGAAGCAGAGCUUGCUCUGUGGAUCAGUGGCGAACGGGUGAGUAACACGUGAGCAACCUGCCCCUGACUCUGGGAUAAGCGCUGGAAACGGCGUCUAAUACUGGAUAUGAGCUGCGACCGCAUGGUCAGCAGUUGGAAAGAUUUUUCGGUCUGGGAUGGGCUCACGGCCUAUCAGCUUGUUGGUGAGGUAAUGGCUCACCAAGGCGUCGACGGGUAGCCGGCCUGAGAGGGUGACCGGCCACACUGGGACUGAGACACGGCCCAGACUCCUACGGGAGGCAGCAGUGGGGAAUAUUGCACAAUGGGCGAAAGCCUGAUGCAGCAACGCCGCGUGGUGGAUGACGGUCUUCGGGUUGUAAACCUCUUUUAGCAGGGAAGAAGCCAAAGUGACGGUACCUGCAGAAAAAGCGCCGGCUAACUACGUG
rnacentral:rRNA from 1 species